rnacentral:rRNA from 1 species
AACGAACGCUGGCGGCAGGCCUAACACAUGCAAGUCGAGCGCGCCCUUCGGGGUGAGCGGCGGAUGGGUGAGUAACGCGUGGGAACGUGCCCUUCUCUGCGGAAUAGCCUCGGGAAACUGAGAGUAAUACCGCAUACGCCCUUUGGGGGAAAGAUUUAUCGGAGAAGGAUCGGCCCGCGUUGGAUUAGGUAGUUGGUGGGGUAAUGGCCCACCAAGCCGACGAUCCAUAGCUGAUUUGAGAGGAUGAUCAGCCACACUGGGACUGAGACACGGCCCAGACUCCUACGGGAGGCAGCAGUGGGGAAUCUUAGACAAUGGGGGCAACCCUGAUCUAGCCAUGCCGCGUGAGUGAUGAAGGCCUUAGGGUUGUAAAGCUCUUUCAGCUGGGAAGAUAAUGACGGUACCAGCAGAAGAAGCCCCGGCUAACUCCGUG